CAUCCUGGAGUGAACCACAUCGAAUUGCAAAUUCGAAAAAGCCACGUGCCCGGACU
rnacentral:tRNA from 1 species